UACAGAGGGUGCAAGCGUUAAUCGGAUUUACUGGGCGUAAAGCGUGCGUAGGUGGCCAAUUAAGUCAAAUGUGAAAUCCCUGAGCUUAACUUAGGAAUUGCAUUCGAUACUGGUUGGCUAGAGUAUGGGAGAGGAUGGUAGAAUUCCAGGUGUAGCGGUGAAAUGCGUAGAGAUCUGGAGGAAUACCGAUGGCGAAGGCAGCCAUCUGGCCUAAUACUGACACUGAGGUACGAAAGCAUGGGGAGCAAAC
rnacentral:rRNA from 1 species